GACGAACGCUGGCGGCGUGCUUAACACAUGCAAGUCGAACGAAGAGCGAUGGAAGCUUGCUUCUAUCAAUCUUAGUGGCGAACGGGUGAGUAACGCGUAAUCAACCUGCCCUUCAGAGGGGGACAACAGUUGGAAACGACUGCUAAUACCGCAUACGAUCUAACCUCGGCAUCGAGGAUGGAUGAAAGGUGGCCUCUAUUUAUAAGCUAUCACUGAAGGAGGGGAUUGCGUCUGAUUAGCUAGUUGGAGGGGUAACGGCCCACCAAGGCGAUGAUCAGUAGCCGGUCUGAGAGGAUGAACGGCCACAUUGGGACUGAGACACGGCCCAGACUCCUACGGGAGGCAGCAGUGGGGAAUCUUCCGCAAUGGACGAAAGUCUGACGGAGCAACGCCGCGUGAGUGAUGACGGCCUUCGGGUUGUAAAGCUCUGUUAAUCGGGACGAAAGGCCUUCUUGCGAAUAGUUAGAAGGAUUGACGGUACCGGAAGAGAAAGCCACGGCUAACUACGUG
rnacentral:rRNA from 1 species